rnacentral:rRNA from 1 species
UACGUAGGGUGCAAGCGUUAAUCGGAAUUACUGGGCGUAAAGGGCUCGUAGGCGGCCAACUAAGUCAGACGUGAAAUCCCUCGGCUUAAACGGGGAACUGCGUCUGAUACUGGAUGGCUUGAGUUUGGGAGAGGGAUGCGGAAUUCCAGGUGUAGCGGUGAAAUGCGUAGAUAUCUGGAGGAACACCGGUGGCGAAGGCGGCAUCCUGGACCGACACUGACACUGAGGAGCGAAAGCCAGGGGAGCAAACGGG